rnacentral:piRNA from 1 species
GAAGGAGUGCUUAGGAGACUGACAGGA